ACUCCUACGGGAGGCAGCAGUGGGGAAUAUUGCACAAUGGGCGCAAGCCUGAUGCAGCCAUGCCGCGUGUGUGAAGAAGGCCUUGGGUUGUAAAGCACUUUCAGUCGUGAGGAAGGUAGUGUAGUUAAUAGCUGCAUUAUUUGUACGUUAGCGACAGAAGAAGCACCGGCUAACUCCGUGCCAGCAGCCGCGGUAAGUACGGAGGGUGCGAGCGUUAAUCGGAAUUACUGGGCGUAAAGCGCAUGCUAGGGUGGUUUGUUAAGUCAGAUGUGAAAGCCCGGGGCUCAACUCGGAAUAGCAUUUGAAACUGGCAGACUAGAGUACUGGUAGAGGGGGUUAGAAUUUCAGGUGUAGCGGUGAAAUGCGUAGAGAUCUGAAGG
rnacentral:rRNA from 1 species